rnacentral:misc_RNA from 1 species
AUCUGCAGAAUGUCACACACUUUUACUUACCCACAACAUGGUUGCUGUCUUUUUCAGGACAACCAUGGACGCCAAAGGCUUACUAUUGCUGGCCUUCCUUAUUGGCAUGGUUGGAGCUAAGCCUCGGCACACAGGGAGAAGAUUUGUGGCAUCACUAUUCCCAGUAUUUAAAACAGCCACUCGGGAUACAGAUGCUGGUAUCCUCUCCAUCGCACAUAAACAGACAGGAAACUGCACCGUGAUUAACAGCGACGGCAAAGUAUAUAAUUUACAACUACAAGACAAUGUCACGACAACACAAUUCAAUCUUCCCAUCAUAUCAGAAUUAAAACUUGGAUCGUAUACCGAGAGGCGUGCUAUAGAAGUUGAAUGCACGACCGACGUUUUGCUCUAUAUGCUCAUCCGUCGACAUACCAAUGGAGGUGCUGAAGCCUUUCCUGUACUACCCGUGGAGUCACUGUCUGGCAGAUACAUGGUGCCUUCUGUGGUAGAUAAUGCACUGCUGGGCGUCGUCGCUGCCUCAGACAAUACAACUGUCACUGUUCAAGUUAAAUCUUCCCGGAAGUGCGCUUACACGUUCCAAGGCAAAGCUUACAGGCGGGGAAACCAGUUUACCGUAGUCUUACAGAAAAGAGUAGUUCUCCAGCUAGCUCGUCCCGAAUUCAAUCCACCAAUAUAUUGUGAUUUAGGAGGGUCGGUCGUUCAGAGUAGCAAACCAGUAGCCGUGUUUUCGGGGUCUUCUGCCUUGCCCUAUCUACCACGUACUGAUAAUGCAGAUGGUGUUAUGAGUCAGGUACCUCCAAUUGAAACCUGGGAUACAUUUUUCUAUAUUUAUCCAGAAGGAGAUGGGGAAGAUAGUGCUGUUCGGAUCUUGGCAGCUUACAACGAUACAAUUGUCCACUUUGGUUCAGCGUUUGGGCCUAAGAUGAGACUACUGAAUGAACGGCAAUUUUAUGAAGCAGCUUACUUGACGGUUGGAAAUAUCCACUACAUCAACAGCUCAAAGCCUAUACUUGUCCAACAAAUAUUUGGAGAAUUUCAAAAAUUCAGUGUUUACACAUCCAUCGUCCCUGCCGUUGCUACCUAUGGAUUUGAAUAUCUUAUACCUGACAUUCAAACAACACGCAUGCAAUAUGAACGUCAUGUCCGUGUAAUCACCAGUAGUAACUGCACAUCAAGCAUUAACGUUGAUGCAAGAUGGACAUUAUAUUCAGGACGUUCCUAUCACAUAGCAUCCGUCAAUUUCAUAGCCCCUGAUAACAUGACUGUUAUAAGAAGUAACUCCCCUGCAUGUCCUUUUGCUGUGCAUGUAGCUGGUUUUGGCCAUAAUGAAAUGUUUGCAUUUUAUGCCAGUGGGACCGAGUCUCGGGAUCCAGUCCCAUCAAACUCUCUCAAACUGACAUGCACACCAGAACGCUGGCUUGUUACCCUGGAUACAAAAGCACUAGCGUCAGCGGUCGAUGUUAAUAAGAAUAUCUACAUGUCGAACACAUAUUGUCCAGGGGUUCUCGACGGUGACCUGCUUGUCUUCAACUUCUCCUACAGUGACUGCAACACAAAGACUAAGACAAACAACGCAUUAAUGACGUUUAGUAACUACCUUACUGAGUAUGAGAGAGAUCCUGAAACAGAUCUGGUGACCGGUUCAAAAUGGCGUUACAACCUCGAAUGUGAUCUUAACAUGCAUGAAACUGACGUUAUUAAUUCCGUUCCCGUCAACUCAACUGUGUCUACUGGACAAACAUCUGGUAAUGUCGAAGAACACGAAGCGGCCGUUACGUUUUACACUGACAGUACUUAUGAAAAUGAAAUAAUGGGAAACCCUUUGAAGAUGGACCUUGUCUCAGAUGUCUAUGUUCAGGUUGCGAUGAAGGAUGUUACUGACCUCAAACUGUUGGUGGACAACUGCUACCUCAAUGACAAUAACGGGGCGGACAACUCUACAGCUGUGGCACUUAUUCAGAACAGACGGCCACCUGCAGUAUUUCCCACUUGAUGUCCGACUGAUAGGUUGACAUACUCCAAAUUUCGGUACUGAACAGUCAUGGAUGUGAAAUUGUUUCUGCUGUUGUCCUCUGCUGUGGGGGCAACUACAGUCAUGCGAGACGUGGUUAAUCUAACAUGCACACAAGAGACUUGGCAGGUUACAGUUAACACCCAAAAGCUAGCUUUCAUUUACCCGAACUCUGUCAGUGAGAACAUCUACCUGUCGAACUCAUUUUGUCCCGGAGUCCUGCAAGGCAAUCAACUGAUCUUCAACAUAUCCUUUGAUGACUGCAACACACAGCUGAAGACGAAUAACAUGUCCCUGAAAUUCAGCAAUUACCUCAUAGAAUAUGACGUUGAUCGCCAAACACAUUUUGUCACUGGUGCAAAAUGGCGCUAUGACCUUGAAUGUGAUCUUCCCCCAAACGCAACUGAUGUCCUCAGUCUGAUUCCUAUCAGCAACAACUCGGCCACCGCUCAGAAAUCCAGCAAUGUAGAAGGACAUGAAGCCGUCAUAAAGUUUUACAGGGACAGCUUGUAUCAAAACGAAACACGCGGAAACCCCUUGGAGGUCAGCAUUGGCACACGUGUAUAUGUUGAAGUUGGUAUGGCAGGGUCAGCUGAUGUCAAACAAUUGGUGGAUAACUGCUUCGUCAGUGAAAAGAUUAGACCCGAGGCGACUACGUCUUUGCCACUCAUUCAGAACAGAUGCGAGGCGAACCAUUUCACCCACAUCAUUGGUAGAGUGGAUAACACUACCCGUUUCUACUUUGAUGCCUUCGAUGUGCCCCAUCACCAUGACAGCGUCUAUGUCACAUGUGACGUCAGUUUCUGUUCGCUAUUGGAUUUCUCGCAGGAAUGUCAAAAUAUUUGUCAGAAGCCAACCCUAUAGGGAAAGGCUGGGAACAAUAAAUGAAUAUAACCAUA